rnacentral:misc_RNA from 1 species
GAAGUUAUCAGCACAAUGAGAUCAGUUCUACCAUUCCAGAUGGUGGAAUGGAAUUUGCAACUAAGUCAAUAGAGAUGAAUCUCUAACCAAUCAGGGACUUACACAGUACACACAAAUUGGCUAUACAUAUAUAUAUGAGACAGAAUUUCAAAAUAAUAAAUCAACGGAAAUUUUUUGUGCAAAAUUGAUGCAGGAUAUAAGAA